CCUGAAGGAACGCCUGAAGGAACGUUGAAGACGACGACGUUGAUAGGCCGGGUGUGUAAGCGCAGCGAUGCGUUGAGCUAACCGGUACUAAUGAACCGUGAGGCUUAACCUU
rnacentral:rRNA from 1 species